rnacentral:lncRNA from 1 species
AAAUGUCACCUAGGAUGCCCUCCUUCCCUUCGGUCUGCCUUCAGCUGCCUCAGGCGUGAAGACAACUUCCCAUCGGAACCUCUUCUCUUCCCUUUCUCCAGCACACAGAUGAGACGCACGAGAGGGAGAAACAGCUCAAUAGAUACCGCUGACCUUCAUUUGUGGAAUCCUCAGUCAUCGACACACAAGACAGACGGAGUCUCGCUCUGGGCGGGGCGAGGCGAGGCGAGGCACAGCGCAUCGCUUUGGAAGCCGCGGCAACGCCUUUCAAAGCCCCAUUCGUAUGCACAGAGCCUUAUUCCCUUCCUGGAGUUGGAGCUGAUGCCUUCCGUAGCCUUGGGCUUCUCUCCAUUCGGAAGCUUUGACAGGCGCAACCCCACCCAGAGGCUGGCUGCGGCUGAGGAUUAGGGGGCUGCGGUGCGGUGGCGCUCUCUCGGCUCACUGAAAC